ACUUAAAUUGAAGAGUUUGAUCAUGGCUCAGAUUGAACGCUGGCGGCAGGCCUAACACAUGCAAGUCGAGCGGUAGCACAGAGAGCUUGCUCUCGGGUGACGAGCGGCGGACGGGUGAGUAAUGUCUGGGAAACUGCCUGAUGGAGGGGGAUAACUACUGGAAACGGUAGCUAAUACCGCAUAAUGUCGCAAGACCAAAGUGGGGGACCUUCGGGCCUCAUGCCAUCAGAUGUGCCCAGAUGGGAUUAGCUAGUAGGUGGGGUAACGGCUCACCUAGGCGACGAUCCCUAGCUGGUCUGAGAGGAUGACCAGCCACACUGGAACUGAGACACGGUCCAGACUCCUACGGGAGGCAGCAGUGGGGAAUAUUGCACAAUGGGCGCAAGCCUGAUGCAGCCAUGCCGCGUGUGUGAAGAAGGCCUUCGGGUUGUAAAGCACUUUCAGCGGGGAGGAAGGCGUUAAGGUUAAUAACCUUGGCGAUUGACGUUACCCGCAGAAGAAGCACCGGCUAACUCCGUGCCAGCAGCCGCGGUAAUACGGAGGGUGCAAGCGUUAAUCGGAAUUACUGGGCGUAAAGCGCACGCAGGCGGUCUGUCAAGUCGGAUGUGAAAUCCCCGGGCUCAACCUGGGAACUGCAUUCGAAACUGGCAGGCUAGAGUCUUGUAGAGGGGGGUAGAAUUCCAGGUGUAGCGGUGAAAUGCGUAGAGAUCUGGAGGAAUACCGGUGGCGAAGGCGGCCCCCUGGACAAAGACUGACGCUCAGGUGCGAAAGCGUGGGGAGCAAACAGGAUUAGAUACCCUGGUAGUCCACGCCGUAAACGAUGUCGAUUUGGAGGUUGUGCCCUUGAGGCGUGGCUUCCGGAGCUAACGCGUUAAAUCGACCGCCUGGGGAGUACGGCCGCAAGGUUAAAACUCAAAUGAAUUGACGGGGGCCCGCACAAGCGGUGGAGCAUGUGGUUUAAUUCGAUGCAACGCGAAGAACCUUACCUGGUCUUGACAUCCACAGAACUUUCCAGAGAUGGAUUGGUGCCUUCGGGAACUGUGAGACAGGUGCUGCAUGGCUGUCGUCAGCUCGUGUUGUGAAAUGUUGGGUUAAGUCCCGCAACGAGCGCAACCCUUAUCCUUUGUUGCCAGCGGUUAGGCCGGGAACUCAAAGGAGACUGCCAGUGAUAAACUGGAGGAAGGUGGGGAUGACGUCAAGUCAUCAUGGCCCUUACGACCAGGGCUACACACGUGCUACAAUGGCAUAUACAAAGAGAAGCGACCUCGCGAGAGCAAGCGGACCUCAUAAAGUAUGUCGUAGUCCGGAUUGGAGUCUGCAACUCGACUCCAUGAAGUCGGAAUCGCUAGUAAUCGUAGAUCAGAAUGCUACGGUGAAUACGUUCCCGGGCCUUGUACACACCGCCCGUCACACCAUGGGAGUGGGUUGCAAAAGAAGUAGGUAGCUUAACCUUCGGGAGGGCGCUUACCACUUUGUGAUUCAUGACUGGGGUGAAGUCGUAACAAGGUAACCGUAGGGGAACCUGCGGUUGGAUCACCUCCUUA
rnacentral:rRNA from 1 species